rnacentral:rRNA from 1 species
CGCGGCCUAUCAGCUUGUUGGUGGGGUGAUGGCCUACCAAGGCGACGACGGGUAGCCGGCCUGAGAGGGUGUCCGGCCACACUGGGACUGAGAUACGGCCCAGACUCCUACGGGAGGCAGCAGUGGGGAAUGUUGCACAAUGGGCGCAAGCCUGAUGCAGCGACGCCGCGUGGGGGAUGACGGCCUUCGGGUUGUAAAUCUCUUUCACCAUCGGCGAAGCCGGGAGCUUUUGUUUCUGGUGACGGUAGGUGGAGAAGAAGCACCGGCCAACUACGUGCCAGCAGCCGCGGUAAUACGUAGGGUGCGAGCGUUGUCCGGAAUUACUGGGCGUAAAGAGCUCGUAGGUGGUUUGUCGCGUUGUCCGUGAAAUUCCCUGGCUUAACUGGGGGCGUGCGGGCGAUACGGGCGGACUGGAGUACUGCAGGGGAGACUGGAAUUCCUGGUGUAGCGGUGGAAUGCGCAGAUAUCAGGAGGAACACCGGUGGCGAAGGCGGGUCUCUGGGCAGUAACUGACGCUGAGGAGCGAAAGCGUGGGGAGCGAACAGGAUUAGAUACCCUGGUAGUCCACGCCGUAAACGGUGGGUACCAGGUGUGGGUUUCCUUCCUUGGGAUCCGUGCCGUAGCUAACGCAUUAAGUACCCCGCCUGGGGAGUACGG